UAGUCCACGCCGUAAACGAUGUCAACUAGCUGUCUGUGUUCUUGAAACGUGGGUAGCGUAGCUAACGCGCUAAGUUGACCGCCUGGGGAGUACGGCCGCAAGGUUAAAACUCAAAUGAAUUGACGGGGGCCCGCACAAGCGGUGGAGCAUGUGGUUUAAUUCGAUGCAACGCGAAGAACCUUACCAUCCCUUGACAUCCAGAGAAGAGACUAGAGAUAGACUUGUGCCUUCGGGAACUCUGAGACAGGUGCUGCAUGGCUGUCGUCAGCUCGUGUUGUGAAAUGUUGGGUUAAGUCCCGCAACGAGCGCAACCCCUAUCCUUAUUUGCCAGCGCGUAGCGGCGGGAACUUUAAGGAGACUGCCGGGUGAUAAACCGGAGGAAGGUGGGGACGACGGUCAAGUCAUCAUGGCCCUUACGGGGAUGGGGCUACAC
rnacentral:rRNA from 1 species